ACCGUACUCCUACGGGAGGCAGCAGUGGGGAAUUUUGGACAAUGGGGGCAACCCUGAUCCAGCAAUGCCGCGUGAGUGAAGAAGGCCUCCGGGUUGUAAAGCUCUUUUGUCAGGGAAGAAACGGUCGUAGCUAAUAUUUAUUACUAAUGACGGUACCUGAAGGAUAAGCACCGGCUAACUACGUGCCAGCAGCCGCGGUAAUACGUAGGGUGCAAGCGUUAAUCGGAAUUACUGGGCGUAAAGCGUGCGCAGGCGGUUGUGUAAGUCAGAUGUGAAAUCCCCGGGCUCAACCCGGGAAUUGCAUUUGAGCCUGCACGGCUAGAGUGUGUCAGAGGGGGGUAGAAUUCCACGUGUAGCAGUGAAAUGCGUAGAUAUGUGGAGGAAUACCGAUGGCGAAGGCAGCCCCCUGGGAUAACACUGACGCUCAUGCACGAAAGCGUGGGGAGCAAACAGGAUUAGAUACCCUAGUAGUCCUUGAC
rnacentral:rRNA from 1 species